UCUCCAGUACGAUACGAGGCGACAGGCGGCGGCGGCGGCGGGCGGCGGUGACGGUCGCUGCAUAACCUACCGGACGGCGGGUGCGUGCUCCCCUCUCCCACCUCUCUGUUGGCGGCUGUGGGAGUCGAAUCCGGACGGUCAGUAAGCACAAUGCCACUAUCAAACGAAGUCUUACCCGCUGUGCUGGCCCCAAAAGUUAUUGCAGCACGUCAUCAGGUCCAUGAGCUCAUUGAUUUAGUAGCAGAGGUUUCGGCCGAAGUCAGGCUUCGACGCUGUGCUAUCGGCGAGCGCAACGCUGGCCAAAUCAUGGGUGCUGGGAACUUGAUGGCUGAGAUUGAGGGGGCCCAUCGAGUUCUUGUGCAUUAAAUACUUCUAUAUCUCAUAGCUAUGUGUUUUUUUCCUUUAAUUGGUAGCCUUUUAAGGAGCUUUUAACAUUAAUUGGUAGACUGAAUUGAUGCACUGUUUCUAUUGCUUAUGUUCUGUAUGCAGUAGGGCAGAGCUGUACAAAUGCUCUUAUUCUUGUAUAGUAGUUUCAUGUUAUCCAGGAAGUACCCUGUCGUGGAAUUGUCACGGCAGAUGUCCUCGA